UACGGGGGGGGCAAGCGUUGUUCGGAAUUACUGGGCGUAAAGGGCUCGUAGGCGGCCAACUAAGUCAGACGUGAAAUCCCCAGGCUUAACCUGGGAACUGCGUCUGAUACUGGAUGGCUUGAAUUCGGGAGAGGGAUGCAGAAUUCCAGGUGUAGCGGUGAAAUGCGUAGGUAUCUGGAGGAAUACCGGUGGCGAAGGCGGCAUCCUGGACCGACAUUGACGCUGAGGAGCGAAAGCUAGGGGAGCAAACGGG
rnacentral:rRNA from 1 species